rnacentral:rRNA from 1 species
AGAGUUUGAUCCUGGCUCAGGAUGAACGCUGGCGGUAUGCCUAACACAUGCAAGUCGAACGAAAGUUUUUAACUUUAGUGGCGAACGGGUGCGUAACACGUGAGAAUCUGCCCUUGGGAGGAGGAUGUUGUUUAUUUUAACAUAACACUCCAUAUGUCGAGAGAUAAAAUAUUUAUUGCCUAAGGAUGAGCUCACGCCUGAUUAGCUAGUUGGUGAGGUAAUAGCUCACCAAGGCCACGAUCAGUAGCUGGUUUGAGAGAAUGAUCAGCCACACUGGGACUGAGACACGGCCCAGACUCCUCUAGGAGGCAGCAGUGAGGAAUCUUCCGCAAUGGGCGAAAGCCUGACGGAGCAAUACCGCGUGAAGGAUGAAGGAUUUUGGUCUGUAAACUUCUUUUUUCAAGAAAGAAAUUUUGACGGUACUUGAAGAAUAAGCAUCGGCUAACUCCGUGCCAGCAGCCGCGGUAAUACGGGGGAUGCAAGCGUUAUCCGGAAUCAUUGGGUGUAAAGCGCCUGUAGGUUGUUUGAUAAGUCUGUUGUUAAAGCCUAGGGCUUAACCCUAGAGAAGCGAUGGAAACUACCAGACUAGAGUAUGGAAGGGGUAGAGGGAAUUUCUAGUGUAGCGGUGAAAUGCGUAGAUACUAGAAAGAACACCAGAAGCGAAAGCGCUCUACUGGGCCAGUACUGACACUCAGAGGCGAAAGCUAGGGUAGCAAAAGGGAUUAGAUACCCCUGUAGUCCUAGCCGUAAACGAUGGAUACUAGAUGUUGUGCGUUACUUGCAACAGAUGUUGCAGAUUAACAUGCAGUGACGAAGCUAACGCGUUAAGUAUCCCACCUGGGGAGUACGCUCGCAAGGGUGAAACUCAAAGGAAUUGACGGGGGCCCGCACAAGCGGAGGAACAUGUGGUUUAAUUCGAUGAUACGCGAGGAACCUUACCAAGGCUUAAAUGUAGAUUGACAGAUUGUGAAAACAGUUUUUCUUCGGACAAUUUACAAGGUGCUGCAUGGUUGUCGUCAGCUCGUGCCGUGAGGUGUCGGGUUAAGUCCCAUAACGAGCGCAACCCCUAUUUUUAGUUACCAGCGAGUAAUGUCGGGAACUCUAGAAAGACUGCCUGUGUAAACAGAGAGGAAGGUGGGGAUGACGUCAAAUCAUCACGGCCCUUAUGUCUUGGGCUACACACGUGUUACAAUGGUUACUACAGUGGGCUGCCAUCUGGCAACAGAGAGCAAAUCCAUAAAGGUAAUCCCAGUUCGGAUCGGAGUCUGCAACUCGACUCUGUGAAGUUGGAUUCGCUAGUAAUCGUAUAUCAGCAAUGAUACGGUGAAUACGUUCCCGGGCCUUGUACACACCGCCCGUCACACCAUGGGAGCUGGUUAUGCCCGAAGUCGUUAUACUAACCGUAAGGAGGAAGACGCCGAAGGUAGAGCUAGUGACUGGGGUGAAGUCGUAACAAGGUAACC